rnacentral:rRNA from 1 species
GACGAACGCUGGCGGCGUGCUUAACACAUGCAAGUCGAACGGAAAGUCCCUGCCUUUGUGGGGUGCUCGAGUGGCGAACGGGUGAGUAACACGUGAGUAACGUGUACUUGACCUUGGGAUGUCUUCAGGAAACUGGGGCUAAUACCGGAUAGGAGUUACUGCUGCUGGGUGGGGGUGGGAAGGUUUCGGUGGUUGGGAGUGGAAUCGCGGCUUAUUGGCUUGUUGGAUGGGUAGUGUCUGAGCAAGGCCUUGACGGGUUGGCGGCCUGAUAGGGGGACCGGCCACGUUGGGACUGGGAUACGGCCCGGCCCCCUCUGGGAGGCAAGAGUGGGGUAUAGUGCACUAUGGGCUGAACCCUGAUGCAGCAACGCCGCGUGGGGUAUGACAUCCAGCGGGUUGUAUACCGCUUUCGCCUUUGACGAAGCGUGAGUGACGGUAAUGGGUAAAGAAGCACCGGCUAACUACGUG